rnacentral:rRNA from 1 species
UACGGAAGGCAGCAGUGGGGAAUAUUGCACAAUGGGCGCAAGCCUGAUGCAGCCAUGCCGCGUGUAUGAAGAAGGCCUUCGGGUUGUAAAGUACUUUCAGUCGUGAGGAAGGUGUUAAGGUUAAUAACCUUAGCAAUUGACGUUAGCGACAGAAGAAGCACCGGCUAACUCCGUGCCAGCAGCCGCGGUAAUACGGAGGGUGCGAGCGUUAAUCGGAAUUACUGGGCGUAAAGGGCACGCAGGCGGUUAAUUAAGUUGGAUGUGAAAUCCCCGGGCUUAACCUGGGAAUGGCAUUCAAGACUGGUUAGCUAGAGUCUUGUAGAGGGGGUAGAAUUCCAUGUGUAGCGGUGAAAUGCGUAGAGAUGUGGAGGAAUACCGGUGGGCGAAGGCGGGCCCCUGGGACAAAGGACUGACGCUCAUGUGCGAAAGCGUGGGGAGCAAACAGGGAUUAGAUACC